UUGACAUCCAGAGAACUUAGCAGAGAUGCUUUGGUGCCUUCGGGAACUCUGAGACAGGUGCUGCAUGGCUGUCGUCAGCUCGUGUUGUGAAAUGUUGGUUAAGUCCGCAACGAGCGCAACCCUUAUCCUUUGUUGCCAGCGGUUCGGCCGGGAACUCAAAGGAGACUGCCGGUGAUAAACCGGAGGAAGGUGGGGAUGACGUCAAGUCAUCAUGGCCCUUACGGCCAGGGCUACACACGUGCUACAAUGGCGCAUACAAAGAGAAGCGACCUCGCGAGAGCAAGCGGACCUCAUAAAGUGCGUCGUAGUCCGGAUUGGAGUCUGCAACUCGACUCCAUGAAGUCGGAAUCGCUAGUAAUCGUAGAUCAGAAUGCUACGGUGAAUACGUUCCCGGGCCUUGUACACACCGCCCGUCACACCAUGGGAGUGGGUUGCAAAAGAAGUAGGUAGCUUAACCUUCGGGAGGGCGCUUACCACUUUGUGAUUCAUGACUGGGGUGAAGUCGUAACAAGGUAGGCGUACGUGU
rnacentral:rRNA from 1 species